GAUACGAAAUUUUAAAAAAUAAGUAAGAUACGAUACGUUAAUAAGAAAUAAGAAUUUUCUAUAAAAUAUACGAGUAGAGAAAUAAAUUAUUAAAUUCAUAACAAAAACAAUACUAUAAAAAAUUAAAAAAAUCAAAAAUAAUAUUGAAAUAUAAUAAAAAAAAUUAAAACCCAUAAAUAUACUAUAUUAAUAUUUGAAAAAAUCACAAAUUUCAUUCAAAACCGAAUAAUAAGAAAAAAAUAA
rnacentral:lncRNA from 1 species